rnacentral:rRNA from 1 species
GUGUUCGGGUUGUCAUGCCAAUGGCACUGCCCGGUAGCUAAAUGCGGAAGAGAUAAGUGCUGAAAGCAUCUAAGCACGAAACUUGCCCCGAGAUGAGUUCUCCCUGACCCUUUAAGGGUCCUGAAGGAACGUUGAAGACGACGACGUUGAUAGGCCGGGUGUGUAAGCGCAGCGAUGCGUUGAGCUAACCGGUACUAAUGAACCGUGAGGCUUAACCUU